rnacentral:rRNA from 1 species
UAGUCCACGCCGUAAACGAUGAAUGCCAGACGUCAGCAAGUAUACUUGUUGGUGUCACACCUAACGGAUUAAGCAUUCCGCCUGGGGAGUACGGUCGCAAGAUUAAAACUCAAAGGAAUUGACGGGGGCCCGCACAAGCGGUGGGCAUGUGGUUUAAUUCGAAGCAACGCGCAGAACCUUACCAACCCUUGACAUGGAUAUCGCGGCUCUGGAGACAGAGCUUUCAGUUCGGCUGGAUAUCACACAGGUGCUGCAUGGCUGUCGUCAGCUCGUGUCGUAAGAUGUUCGGUUAAGUCCGGGCAACGAGCGCAACCCACACUCUUAGUUGCCAGCAUUCAGUUGGGCACUCUAGGAGAACUGCCGGUGAUAAGCCGGAGGAAGGUGUGGAUGACGUCAAGUCCUCAUGGCCCUUACGGGUUGGGCUACACACGUGCUACAAUGGUAGUGACAAUGGGUUAAUCCCAAAAAGCUAAUCUCAGUUCGGAUUGGGGUCUGCAACUCCG